rnacentral:misc_RNA from 1 species
CCGCCUCAUAGUCAAUGUAGACGUGCUCGCUCUCGUCUUCAUAGUCGUCGAUGAUGGCACAUUCCCUGGGCAACAGCAUGCCAAACUCCGCCUCAUAGUCGAUGUAGCGGUGCUCGCUCCCGUCCUCAGAGUCGCCGUCGAUGAUGUUGGCGACGCAUGCCUUAGCUCUGGGAAACAACAUGCGAAAGAUGUUCGCAGUCGUCAUAGCAGCGUCGUCGAUGGUACGCUCCCUGGGCAACAGCAUGUCAAAGAUGUCUUGGUUGCCGUUCUCUGCUACAUCAGCGAUGCCAUCGUCGUCCUCGGCGUUGUACCAGUCACAUGCCGCAGUAGCGGUAGCAGCCUCUUCUUCGCCGUCGGAACUAUCAAUGUCAAACGAGGACCCAUCUUCAUCCUCCUCGUCGUCGUCGAUAUAGCCGUGCUCGCUCUCGUCCUCAUAGUUGUCGAUAUUGGCGUCGCAUGCCGUACCCGUAGCUCUUGGAAAAAGCAUGUGGAAGAUGUCUCGGUUGCCGUUCUCUGCUUCCUCGUCAGACCCAGAGAAGUCAUCUUCCGUGUCAGACCUGUCGUUAUCAAUGUCGUCGUGAAAGGAUUCCGACGGCUCGUCGUUGCAUCCGGGAUGCUCGCGGCGGCCGCCGCCGUCCGACGAUACCACCCUGAAGGAGAGCCCCGGACCCGGUGGCGUGGGUUGAGGCAUGGCCACGGCCACGGCCGCCACCCGCGGGUGCGCCGCCGCGUCGAAUCUGUGAUCACCGCCUUUGCGGCCCCGCCUCACGAUCAUGAAUCCACUGUCGUCGUCGUCGGAGGCGCUGUCUGUAUCGCUGCUACCACCGGCGCCGUCACCAAUAAAGAUCCAGUCCUCCUCCAUGGCCGCCAUCGUCCUUACUCCUUACCUGUGAACUCGAUCGGUGAGCGAUUUAUAGAGCAGGCCGGCCGGCGAGAACUAGAUGGAUCGAUCUAAAGGAAUUGCUGCGCAAGACGGCAAGAGCGAUC